GUGACAGAGAGAAGUUGACAGUGACACUGUCAACUUCUCUCUGAACUUCUCUCUGUCACUGUCAACUUCUCUCUGUCACU
rnacentral:pre_miRNA from 1 species